AACGGUUCGCGCAACUGGCGAUAGGGUGUCAGGCCGGCCCGCACACGGCGGCUGGCACCACGAGGUGGAUCACCACCGGGGAGCGCGAGAUGGCCUGAUCGCCAUCGCCAAAGCCGUUCGCCUGGGCAACCGCC
rnacentral:ncRNA from 2 species